rnacentral:lncRNA from 1 species
CAACUCUGGACCAGUUGCCAUCUCUAUCAAUGAAUCGAACUCCUGAAUGGACCUGAGAAAUGAUAUGCAUGAAGAGAUUAGCUUUUUUCUUUUUCUUUUUUCCAAUUUUCUCUGUUUUUUUUUAUUGCAUUAUUUUUUUUUGAAAAUAAACAUGCUAUGAUGCAAAUGAUGCAGACAAGACUGGCUGGCUGUGUAUCUUGGAGCACAGGAUCAAAGCUUCGGCUUCAACUCGGAACCACAAAUUCAUUUGAAACCCAAAGUCAUC